AGAGUUUGAUCCUGGCUCAGGAUGAACGCUGGCGGCGUGCCUAAUACAUGCAAGUCGAGCGAAGGAUGUAGCAAUACGUUCUUAGCGGCGAACGGGUGAGUAACGCGUUGGUGACCUGCCUCGAAGCGUGGGAUAACAGUUCGAAAGGAUUGCUAAUACCGCAUGUGGUUGUGGAGAUUAGAAGCUCUGCAACUAAAGGAGAAAUUCACUUCGAGAGGGGCCUGCGUCCCAUCAGCUAGUUGGUAAGGUAAAGGCUUACCAAGGCGAUGACGGGUAGGGGACCUGAGAGGGUGGCCCCCCACAAUGGAACUGAAACACGGUCCAUACACCUACGGGUGGCAGCAGUAGGGAAUAUUGCAUAAUGGGCGAAAGCCUGAUGCAGCAACGCCGCGUGUGCGAUGAAGGCCUUCGGGUCGUAAAGCACUUUUAGAGAGGAUGAGGAAGGACAGUACUCUCUGAAUAAGCCUCGGCUAACUACGUGCCAGCAGCCGCGGUAAAACGUAGGAGGCGAGCGUUAUCCGGAUUUACUGGGCGUAAAGCGCGUGCAGGCGGUAAGGAAAGUUGGAUGUGAAAGCUCCUGGCUUAACUGGGAGAGGUCGUUCAAAACUACCUAACUAGAGUGUGGGAGAGGGAGGCGGAAUUCCGGGUGUAGUGGUGAAAUGCGUAGAUAUCCGGAGGAACACCAGUGGCGAAAGCGGCCUCCUGGCCCAAGACUGACGCUCAGACGCGAAAGCUAGGGUAGCAAACGGGAUUAGAGACCCCGGUAGUCCUAGCUGUAAACGAUGUGAACUUGGCGUCGGCGGGUUUAAAUCCGUCGGUGUCGAAGCAAACGCGAUAAGUUCACCGCCUGGGGACUACGGCCGCAAGGUUAAAACUCAAAGGAAUUG
rnacentral:rRNA from 1 species